UCUUUUUGUUAUAUAUUUAAAGUCUAGUCUGCCCAAUGAAUUUUGAAUGGCCGCAGUAUAUUAACUGUGCUAAGGUAGCAUAAUCAUUAGUUUUUUAAUUAAAAGCUGGAAUGAAUGGCUGAAUGAAAAAAUUUCUGUUUCUAUUUAAUUUUAUUAAAAUUUUAUUUUUAAGUUAAAAAGCUUAAAUAUUUUUAUUAGACGAGAAGACCCUAUAGAGUUUAAUAAAAAAUUUAUAUUUAAAUUUUUUAGAAAUUAGUUUAUUUAUUUAUUUUUUUUAUUUAAUUGGGGUGAUUAAAAAAUUAAAUUAACUUUUUUAUUAUUUAAAUAUCUAAUAAAUAUAUUUAUGAUCCAAUAAUUUUGAUUAAAAGACUAAAUUACCUUAGGGAUAACAGCGUAAUUUUAUUGAAGAGUUCAAAUCGAUAAUAAAGAUUGCGACCUCGAUGUUGGAUUAAAA
rnacentral:rRNA from 1 species